GGAGCGGAGAGUCUUGCACCUUGGGGCGCGCUGCCUAAGGUGGUCAGGGAGACGCAGAGAAGCCGGAGCCAGCGCCUGGGGUACAGGGUUGCUGUCCACUUUAUAUUUUGGACCUACACCACGCUGAUUCAGCUAAACUACCCCAGGGUUUCUCUUGUCUCUGCCUCGCCAGCUCUGGGAUUAUAGUUGACAAUGUUUUUCACAUUGGUGUUUCAAGUAUGGUGUUUCUCAAGUGUCUCACCGGAAGGUCACAGAUAAGAGACAGAAACAAACUGAUGGUCAUUGAGUUUGGGAAACCCUGGAACAGCUGGAGCUUCCACCUCUGAAGCAUUGGCCUCUCUGACUGCGCCCAGCAGAGAUGGUUCCUGUAUCUGUAAUGGUGUGUGUCACUGGCGGCCUGCUCAGCAUUACCAUAUCUGCAAUGAUGUGUGUCACUGGCAGGAUUGUCCUGUGUCUCUCACACUGUCUGCUCACUCCUCCACGCUCCAGUUUCAAUCCUACCAGACCUGGGAGAACAGAAUGAAGCUUCCCUCCACUCCCGUGCAGAUUUAUCUUGAUUGACCUGACGCUACUUGGAUCGCAAGUGAAGCUUUCGUUUGAAAUGUGUUUGCAUCAGACCCUAGGGCCAGUCAAUAUUCCUGUUCUACAGAUGAGGAACCUGAGGCUCUGGAAACCAAGCGGUUGCUGAUGUUACACAGACACCAAAGGGCAGAGCUUGGGGUCCGCAAUAGGGUGUAACUCUAGUCUCCUGACUGUUCUGGACACUGUGCUGAGACAUCUCCCUGCUGGCCUGGUCUUCAGGAGACCAGAGGUCACAGUUGUCCUUGGCCCUUGGGAAAAAGUAAAGGGACAAGAUGCUCUAGGAGCGGCAGGAGACCUACUGUUAUCUGAGGGCAUCUCCCUCCAGCUCUCAAAGUCUGCUUUUCAGUGAGAGGGUUCACCUAGAUCAGAGCCAAAUCCCACUUACAAGAAUGAACACAGACACACACACAUGCUCGAGCACGCACACACACACACACACAUGCAUGCACGCACGUGAGUCACACACGUACGCGCACUCAAAUGCAUGGAUUGGGAAAAAAACAGCCCCAAGACUUAGAUGUAAGCAGUAUCCCAUGGUGCUUGGGGGCAUUUGCCCCAGGGGAUCCUCUGUAGGUUUCUCAUGUGCUUUUUAAAAAAUUAUUUAUUUAUUGUAUGUAUGUACAUGAGUACACUGUAGUUGGCUACUCAAAUCCUUGAUUAAAGACCUGGGUUGAUCUUG
ensembl:lincRNA 4833428L15Rik RIKEN cDNA 4833428L15 gene